GAGCAAUGCGAGGAGCCAGCCCUAGUAUGAGAGGACUGGGCUGGGUCAACCUAUGGUGUACUGGUUGUUAUGCCAAUAGCAGCGCCGGGCGGCUAAGUUGGUACGGAAGAACUGCUGCGUCGCGGGAAAUCCUUCUCUAUACAAGUUCUC
rnacentral:ncRNA from 1 species